rnacentral:rRNA from 1 species
AAUGAACGUUGGCGGCAUGGAUUAGGCAUGCAAGUCGAGCGAGAAGUGUAGCAAUACACGGAAAGCGGCGGAAGGGAGAGUAAUACGUGGGAAUCCGCCCUUAGACCUGGGAUAGCAGCGGGAAACUGCUGGUAAUACCAGAUAAUGUCUAUGGACCAAAGGUGUGAUUCCGUCUAGGGAUGAGCCCACGUCCUAUUAGCGAGUUGGUAGGGUAAUGGCCUACCAAGGCGAUGAUGGGUAGCGGGUGUGAGAGUAUGACCCGCCUCACUGGGACUGAGACACUGCCCAGACACCUACGGGUGGCUGCAGUCGAGAAUCUUCGGCAAUGGGCGCAAGCCUGACCGAGCGAUGCCGCGUGCGGGAUGAAGGCCUUCGGGUUGUAAACCGCUGUCGAGGGGGAGCAACUUCCAUAGAGUUAUCUUUAUGGAUUGAGUGAUCCCUGGAGGAAGGACGGGCUAAGUUCGUGCCAGCCGCCGCCGUAAUAC